GGAGGGGUGCAAGCGUUGUUCGGAAUUAUUGGGCGUAAAGAGCGUGUAGGGCGGUUCGGUAAGUCAGAUGUGAAAAGGCCCUGGGGCUCAACCCAGGAAGUGCAUUUGAAACUACCAGACUUGAGUACGGGAGAGGAGGGGGGAAUUCCCGGUGUAGAGGUGAAAUUCGUAGAUAUCGGGAGGAAUACCAGUGGCGAAGGCGCCCCUCUGGACCGAUACUGACGCUGAGACGCGAAAGCGUGGGGAGCAAACAGGAUUAGAUACCCUGGUAGUCCACGCCGUAAACGAUGAGCACUAGGUGUAGCGGGUAUUGACCCCUGCUGUGCCGUAGCUAACGCAUUAAGUGCUCCGCCUGGGGACUACGGUCGCAAGACUA
rnacentral:rRNA from 1 species